GGCGACGGGUGAGUAACACGUGAAUAACCUGCCCUCAAUUUCGGAAUAACCCAGGGAAACCUGGGCUAAUACCGGAUACGUAAACCUGUGGCAUCACAUGGUUUUGGAAAGUUUUUCGAUUGAGGAUGGAUUCGCGGCCUAUCAGCUUGUUGGUGAGGUAAUGGCUCACCAAGGCGACGACGGGUAGCCGGCCUGAGAGGGUGGACGGCCACACUGGGACUGAGACACGGCCCAGACUCCUACGGGAGGCAGCAGUGGGGAAUAUUGCGCAAUGGACGAAAGUCUGACGCAGCGACGCCUCGUGAGGGACGAAGGUCUUCGGAUUGUAAACCUCUUUCAGCAGGGACGAAGCGAAAGUGACGGUACCUGCAGAAGAAGCACCGGCUAACUAUGUGCCAGCAGCCGCGGUAAUACAUAGGGUGCAAGCGUUGUCCGGAUUUAUUGGGCGUAAAGAGUUCGUAGGCGGUUUUUCGCGUCGGAUGUGAAAACUCAGGGCUCAACCCUGAGCCUGCAUUCGAUACGGGAAGACUCGAGGACGGCAGGGGAGACUGGAACUUCUGGUGUAGCGGUGGAAUGCGCAGAUAUCAGAAAGAACACCAAUGGCGAAGGCAGGUCUCUGGGCCGAUCCUGACGCUGAGGAACGAAA
rnacentral:rRNA from 1 species